CCCUGUUCCCUCUUAUAAUUUUUCUAGCAGUUUAGAUUGUACAGUAAUAUUUCUUUACUUUAAACAGAAUUUUCUAAUGUUUUGAGAACUACAGUGAUAAUAUUUUAUUCAGAUUUAAAUAUUAUUUAGUUUUAAAGGACAGCAAAAGUAUGUUUACUUGAUUUAAUUCCCUCCAUUUUUGUAUAACAUAGGCUGGUACAACAAAGAUGACAAGCCUCCUAUAGCUGUGGUUAUUACCAACGACUUUGACUUUGGGAUCAACAGCUCAGUGGACUAUGAGAUAGUCAGCAGCCCUACCAUACCAACUAGUUUAACUGGGCAUUUAGCAUCUACUACAAACUUUUUCAAUAUUGACAAAGAUGGAAGAAUUUUCUCACAGGUUGAUCCUAAAUACUUGGAUAGAGAAACUAGACCUAAACUUGAAGUUGUAGUGAGAGCUAAGGAUGGAGGACCUGACCCUCAGACAUCCACUGCUACUGUCACCAUUAUAUUGAAAGAUAUCAAUGACAACAGCCCUGUCUUCACACAAAAGACCUACAAUGUGACUAUGUCAGAGCACUUCAAAGAUGGUAUUGUCACUGAGGUGCAUGCAACAGACAAAGAUGAAAAUGACAAUGCUGAGCUCUUCUUUUCUAUGUCACAAGCCAAUGCUGCUAUGGGCCAUUUCAAAGUGGAUACUAUAGAAAACAAAGGCGCUAUCUCCAUCAAAGAGGUAGUUUGUUUCUUAUACUUAGUUAAUU
rnacentral:sRNA from 1 species